GCCGCCUUCGGCUGGCCUUCUGGGCCAGGUGUGUCUUUGCAAUAAUCCCGCCUACUCGAAUGACCCUGCUGCCCCGGAGCUGGCAAGGAUGUGAAAGUCACUUGCAACCUUACGUUACAGCCACCAGAAACAAACAGGGCAGACGAAGCAAACAAGCGUUACUCUCGGUUAUUGGAUCUGAGUCAAUUCGACCCCAAAGGAGAAAAAGAAGCGACAAAAAGACUGCUCAUAACCAAUCCAGAAACCGGAUAAAAAUCUGAAUUAAUUUUGAAAGGUGGAAGAGUGAAGACGAAAUUACCACUUUUCUCAUGGACUGGUAACAUUAGGGAGAUACUGGUGGAGACUGAUUUUGAGGGAACCUGAGGCUGUACAAGUUGUGGUUGUGCAAACCCCAACACUGAAAGAGAGUGCCAACAACCCCCAAAGACUCAGACUCUCAGACUCUCCUGUCCCAAUACCAACCAAGCAAGAGUAUCUCCAGGAACAUCAGUGCAAAGGGCUUGGUGAGACCAUGGCCAGUAUAUUACCUACCUUCUCUCUCUGAUGAGACCAUGGCAGGUAUAUUACCUACCACAAGGGAGGCUGCUGAGGGAGGACGGCUCAUAAUAAUGGCCGGAACGGAGCAAAUGGAAUGGCA